AGUGGAAUUGCCCGGUCAUGUGGUAAUUCUGUAUUUCACUUUCUGAAGAACCACUAGCCUGUUUCCCACAGUGACUGCACCAUUUUACAUUCCCACCAGCGGU
rnacentral:pre_miRNA from 1 species